CCAGAUAGAACUUUGCCCCUCGUGCUCAGUAUCCACAAAUCCGCCACUCGGGUUCAAUAUGCACAAUCAGAUAGAGUUAUGCGGUUAUUAGGCAUUCGAGGAGGAGAAGGGUGAUAGUUCCGAGACUAAUCAAGUAGUGGGCACAAGUAUCAUCUGUAAGUAUGACUAGGUGGUGAUAGCGUGCCUCCGUGGGUAGUCGAUGGUGGUCACAUAACCAGAGAAAUAUUUUAUUUUUGGA
rnacentral:lncRNA from 1 species